rnacentral:rRNA from 1 species
UACGUAGGGAGCAAGCGUUGUUCGGAUUUACUGGGCGUAAAGGGCGCGUAGGCGGCAAUUCAAGUCACUUGUGAAAUCUCCGGGCUUAACUCGGAACGGUCAAGUGAUACUGCUUUGCUAGAGUGCGGAAGGGGCAAUCGGAAUUCUCGGUGUAGCAGUGAAAUGCGUAGAUAUGCGGAGGAACACCGAUGGCGAAGGCAAUCCCCUGGGCCUGCACUGACGCUCAUGCACGAAAGCGUGGGGAGCAAACAGG